rnacentral:misc_RNA from 1 species
GGAAGAUAAUAUAGUAAUUUAAUAUUGGUAUAUAUAGAUGCUAUCAUGUAUUUUUUACAUUUUGCUUCUUAACCUUUCACAUUCUUUAUUCUAAAAAUUUAAAUAUUUCAAUUAAACUUUUCUAUUCUUUGUUAAAGGUUAAUAAGAAAAAGUUGGAUGAGUCUCAACAUUAUAUCUACCGAUACUUAUAACUUUUCUUGAUUCUCCUACUACUUAUCAUUAUUUUUAUUUCUUAUAUUUUUUUUUUCAAUUGGUGCCCUCUAAAAUACACUACAACAAAUAUGAUAUAUAGCUACGGAAUUAUUGGCUAUGCCAUCAAAUUCGUCAUUAGUUAUUUGCUUUUAGUGACAAAAUUUACUUUUUGUACUUAAAUAUAUGAGACACAUAUUUUUAGUGAAGAAACAUAAAAAUUUGUGGCAAAAUUUUGUUCACUAAUGUUUUUCAUCAAAAAAAUAAUUGGUGUCAUUUGUUAUGUAGUGUUAGUCACGAAUCUAAAGUUAUCGGCGACAUAUUUCAUCACUAAUAAUGUAUCUAAUUCAUGAAAAAUUAUUUUUUGUCUUAAAAUUUAUUAAUAUAUGGACACAAAAUUCAUCUACAAAAAUAUGUUGU